rnacentral:rRNA from 1 species
GACGAACGCUGGCGGCGUGCCUAAUACAUGCAAGUAGAACGCUGAAGAGAGGAGCUUGCUCUUCUUGGAUGAGUUGCGAACGGGUGAGUAACGCGUAGGUAACCUGCCUUUUAGCGGGGGAUAACUAUUGGAAACGAUAGCUAAUACCGCAUAACAAUUGAUGACACAUGUCAUUUAUGUGAAAGGGGCAAUUGCUCCACUACAAGGUGGACCUGCGUUGUAUUAGCUAGUAGGUGAGGUAAAGGCUCACCUAGGCGACGAUACAUAGCCGACCUGAGAGGGGGAUCGGCCCAACUGGGAAUGAGACAAGGCCCAAAACCCUAAGGGAGGCAGCCGUAGGGAAUCUUCGGCAAUGGGGGCAACGCUGAACGAGCAACGCCGCGGGAGUGAAGAAGGUUUUCGGAUCGUAAAGCUCCGUUGUAAGUCAAGAACGAGUGUGAGAGUGGAAAGUUCACACUGUGACGGUAGCUUACCAGAAAGGGACGGCUAACUACGUG